GUGAACGCUGGCGGUAGGCCUAACACAUGCAAGUCGAACGGCAGCACCGUAAGAGCUUGCUCUUACGGGUGGCGAGUGGCGGACGGGUGAGGAAUACAUCGGAAUCUACUUUUUCGUGGGGGAUAACGUAGGGAAACUUACGCUAAUACCGCAUACGACCUACGGGUGAAAGCAGGGGAUCUUCGGACCUUGCGCGAUUGAAUGAGCCGAUGUCGGAUUAGCUAGUUGGCGGGGUAAAGGCCCACCAAGGCGACGAUCCGUAGCUGGUCUGAGAGGAUGAUCAGCCACACUGGAACUGAGACACGGUCCAGACUCCUACGGGAGGCAGCAGUGGGGAAUAUUGGACAAUGGGCGCAAGCCUGGUCCAGCCAUACCGCGUGGGUGAAGAAGGCCUUCGGGUUGUAAAGCCCUUUUGUUGGGAAAGAAAAGCAGCAGGUUAAUACCCCGCUGUUCUGACGGUACCCAAAGAAUAAGCACCGGCUAACUUCGUG
rnacentral:rRNA from 1 species